rnacentral:rRNA from 1 species
CACGUAGGGUGCAAGCGUUGUCCGGAAUCAUUGGGCGUAAAGAGCUCGUAGGCGGCUUAGUAAGUCGGGUGUGAAACCUCCAGGCUCAACCUGGAGACGCCACCCGAUACUGCUAUAGCUAGAGUCCAGUAGGGGAGUGCGGAAUUCCCGGUGUAGCGGUGAAAUGCGCAGAUAUCGGGAGGAACACCAGCGGCGAAGGCGGCACUCUGGGACGUUACUGACGCUGAGACGCGAAAGCGUGGGGAGCAAACAGG